CGACCCCAGGUCAAGCGGGGCUACCCGCUGAGUUUAA
rnacentral:rRNA from 3 species